AGAAGUUUUAUCUCUAGGUUUCUACAGAAUAUAAAAUAUAAACAAAUUUAAAGACAAAAACACUUUCUUAGAUUAGUAAAUUUAUUUGAAAACAAAACGAACCCAAAACAAAAAGUACCGAAAGGGAAAGAUGAAAUAAUAUUAACUUAUAAACCCCAAAAAGGAAAGAUUACUCCUUUUACCUUGUGUAUAAUGGAUUAACGAGAAAACAAGAAAAAUUUUUCUUUGCCCGAAACUGGACGAGCUAAUCUUGCCUUCCUCACAGGAGGGAUAAACUCACUGUUGCAAUAGUGGGAAAAAAGGUUAGAUUAGAUGUGAAAUGCUAACCGCGCCCAGAGAUAGCUGGUUUCCCAAAAAAUUAGUUUGAGCUAAGCCUCUAUUUUAAAAUAUGUCUCCUUUAACACUAUAAAUAGACAGCAUAAAAUUUAAAAGAUGAAGGUCAGAGCUUCAAGGAUAAGCUUGAAGCUCAAAAUGGAAAACUCCAACUACGAUAGUUAAAGUCAACCACCUGAAGAAAUAGAAAACAACAAAGUAAUAGGCUUAGAAGCAGCCACUUAAUAAGAAAGCGUUAAAGCUCAGUUGUUAAUAAUUUCUAAAAAAUUAUUGAGUAUUUACCCUGACACUUCGAAAUUUUAUUGGGACAUUCUAUAGCUAGAAAAGACAAUGUUAAUAUUAGUAAGCACCUAGCUCACCUGAGUUUUAUCCGUUUAUAACCAUGGAAGAAAAAACACUGCAACAAAUAAACAUGUUUUAAUCAACGUCUUCCAACCCAGGAGAACUAAAACAAUUAAACUGAGAAAAAGGAACUCGGCAAACAAUAGUUUCGCCUGUUUACCAAAAACAUCGCUCCUUGACCCUAAAACAUAAGGAGUCCUGCCUGCCCAGUGACUAGAGGUUAAACGGCCGCGGUAUCUUGACCGUGCGAAGGUAGCAUAAUCACUUGUCUCCUAAAUAGAGACUAGUAUGAAUGGCAAGACGGAACAAGACUGUCUCUUUCUCAAGACCCCGAAUUUCACUUCCCCGUGAAGAGGCGAGGAUAAAAUCGCUAGACGAGAAGACCCUGUCGAGCUUAAGCAAAACCCAAGUCCAUAAUUUAUUUGACCUAGUCUAAUUUAUAACCAUAUCUAGUGACAAAUUCUUAUUCUUCUUGGAAGAGCUUUGGUUGGGGCAACCGCGGAGUAAAAUAACCCUCCGCUUAUAAGGUAUGAUAAAAAGAGAAACAACUCUAAAACCAGAAUGAAACUAGUGAUCCACUAAGGUGAUCAAAGGAACAAGUUACCGCAGGGAUAACAGCGUCAUCUUUUCUGAGAGUUCACAUUGACGAAAAGGUUUGCGACCUCGAUGUUGGAUCGGGACAUCCUAAGGGUGCAGAAGCUUUUAAGGGUUGGUCUGUUCGACCAUUAAAGUCCUACGUGAUCUGAGUUCAGACCGGCGAAAGCCAGGUCAGUUUCUAUCUACGAUGAUAUCUCUCUUAGUACGAAAGGACCAGAGAGAAAGUGUCUAUGCCUAAGGGUAAGCACUAACAUUAAAAAC
rnacentral:rRNA from 1 species